rfam:Moniliophthora roreri MCA 2997 sctg_0430_0001, whole genome shotgun sequence.
GGCGCUAUAGCCAAGUGGUUACGGCGACAGAUUAGAACCGUUGUCUCUGUUUUAUCUGUUCCUCUUUGAGGGCGCAGGUUCGAAUCCUGCUGGCGUCG